UGAACGCUAGCGACAGGCCUAACACAUGCAAGUCGAGGGGCAACACGAAUCAAGCUUGCUUGAUUGGUGGCGACCGGCGCACGGGUGCGUAACAGGUGUGCAAUCUGUCCAUAAUCGGGAAUAGCCCAGCGAAAAGUUUGGAUUAAUGCUCCAUGUGAGUGAUUGAGGCAUCUCUUUCAUUUGAAACGUAAGGAUUAUGGGUGAGCACGCUUCUGAUUAGGUAGUUGGUGAGGUAACGGCUCACCAAGCCGACGAUCAGUAGGGGUUCUGAGAGGAAGGUCCCCCACAUUGGAACUGAGACACGGUCCAAACUCCUACGGGAGGCAGCAGUGAGGAAUAUUGGUCAAUGGACGGAAGUCUGAACCAGCCAAGUCGCGUGAAGGAUGAAGGUUCUAUGGAUUGUAAACUUCUUUUGUCUGAGGGUAAAAAGCGGACGUGUCCGUUCUUGCAAGUAUCAGACGAAUAAGCAUCGGCUAACUCCGUG
rnacentral:rRNA from 1 species